UCUUGAUUACCUGGUAUAACCAUUCAAAUUUUAUCAUUAAUAUUGAAUUAUUUAUAUUCCCAUAAUAUUGAUAGUAUGGAAACUGAAAGAUAAAUCGAAGUAGACUGUAUGAGGGUAUACAUGAACUAUGCAGUAAAGUAAAUUUCUAACAAAACUACAUUUUACAAAUUUUAUGCCUCUCAUAAUAAGUGGGUCUCAGCCUUAGUAUCCGAGUAGUACAACAGGUAGAUGACGACGACGACGACGAGGUUGAUGAUCAAGAUGUGUUGUGUAACUGGUGUUGGCCAUGAUCAGAAGAGCAGCAGCACAAAAUAUGUGAGAGUUUGAAAUAAUCAGUGUUCCAGAGCACUUCGGAUGGAAAGUGGGGGAUCUUGCACUGUGCCUCUGGAAAGAAGAUCGUGAUUUAAGAAUAAAACAAUGACUGUUAUAUCAUCAUGAAAGUGGCGUCGAACCUUCUUGUCAGUCCUACGAAGAUCUGAUUAUCUCAUCUCCCUUUUUCUUGCUGCUUCUCGUAAGGCAGCCUUGACAAGUCUUUUGGCACUUUCUGCAUGUAGAUGACUGUGAACAAUAUCCACAGCUUUUUCAUUACUCAAGUGUUCCCAAAGCCCGUCAGAUGCAAAUAUAAGGAAGGAAUCAUUCGGAUGGAGAGGAUGGGAAAUGAUAGUUGGAUUAGCAUUCAAGAUAGGCAUGUUCAUUGGUUCAGGGAGUCUAAAUUUUGUUCUUGGUUAUACUGCACAUGCUUCAUAUACACGUCGCCUAUAGAUCUAGAAACCUGCAUCAAAAACAAUGAUGGGAGUUUUUGACAUUAGAUCUCUACUUGUGAAGAAACAAUAAAAGUUGAGAAACUAGAGGUUGAUAUUCCAUUCUAAAAUAAAAUAUGCAAGGAAUUUCCAUGACACAGUUGACUUCUAUAUUAACAUAAAUCUGUCAGGGGAAGGGGGAACAGAGAUCCAAUUAAUCUUUAUGAUCAAAUACCCUUAUUUACUUAAAUAUAUCAAUAAACAUUAUCACAAAACUUCUAGCUAUAUUUGCCAUGCAAUUUUACAUAUUAGCACAGAAUUUAGUGCCUCAAAUGAUGCUGAAAUUUUCAAGUUGCUAUAAUAGAAAAAGAAAUUUCAAACAACUUAUUGGCUUUUGUCUUUUUCCUAGGAAAUAACCUCACAUCCUCAAAUGUAUUAAUUCAUCAUUUUCAAUAUAUAUAUAAUUCUUCGUGAAGAAUGUAAUUCCAUUGCAUCCUUAUACAGAUAACUUUACCACAUGGUUUUUGUCAGUGCCAUAUACCAUUACGCUCUGUAGUUUGUGCUUCUACGAAAUCUAAGACUCUCUCCCAUCGGUUAUUUAUACUGUGAAACUCUGCAGCCAAGCACUCUAAAUCCAUUAUUACAUAUCCUAUAAUGCAAGAAAUAACAGUGAAAUUUGUUUGCAUCAACCACUAUAAUAAAUGGUCAAUGAGUUCCCAGAAGCAUUUACAACUGAAUCACAAAUCAUUAGAAAAUUAUCAUUUUUGCUUUAUUUCAUGGCCAAUGCCUCAAGAUAUCUAAUCAAUAGUUGCAUAAUUUCUCAGCACUAGCACAAACAUCUAAUUAACAUUUUCAGAUAAAGAAUAUGGCCAAGAAUACAAGAAGCAACAAGAAUCUCAAAAGGCACCUAAUGACGUGCUUCAUUUUGACACAAUGUGAAGGAUAAAUUGGGUUUCUGAAACAACCUGAAUAAUCCCCUUUACUCUCCAAACUCCAUGCUUAAGGACAACAAUCUGGGGAUCAUUUGGAUGCAGUUCCUUGAGUUCAUGCCGAAUGGCCUCAUUGUUUGCAUUAUGUUCUGUUGAUAGCUGAAUAGCAGCAAUGUCUCCAGUGCUACCAACUUUCUUCCCCAACACGACUCUAGAAUCUCCCAAGUUUGCCACAAAGAGGGUCUGCUGAAAUAUGACUCCAACUAGACAGCAAGAUCCAGUAGUUGCAAUUUGGGGACAAGUAGUCCAUAACUCAGACACAAGAGUAGUAAACCCUUCUUCGGUUGCAUGAAAAGCUCUUUGAAUAGUCUCAGCUGCCACAACUCCCUGUGCAUCAGCUGAUAUUGCUGCAUAAUCACAAAGCCCAAGAAUGCCAAAAUAAGACCAGCUCCUCAUUUAAAGUUAAACAACAAGAAACAUUUCCCUGAGAAAGCCAGCGAAAUUUUUUUCUGAAAAACUUAGAAAAACUGACGAUGGAAUGAGUAAGCCCCACUAUUAACACUGGCGCAAGUGUCAAAGCCAUCAGCCUUGUGCAGAAUCCAGUUUCUGUAGCAGGUAUUUUUCAUGCAUUGUGAAUUUUGGUAGCAUUUUCUUACUUUCAAGACCAAAAACUGCAGUACACUUCGGUGCAUAAAAGGGAAACAAAAAAAAAACCGAAGUAAUUAAACACUAUGCAAAAAGUUCUGUUGGCAACUUUUGAACAAAAUUGCAUUGGUUUUAACUGAAGACACUCGCAUAUGCUAACGAAAGAACAACUGAUGCUUCACCGCUCUGUUCCAAUUUUCAACUGUACCUGAUACUCUGAACAGUUAUCCAAUCAAAACAAACUCCCAAUGGAAAUAUCCUUAAACAGUUAUCCACAAAAUUGACGAGCAUAAAGAAGAUAAUCAAACAUGUGGCCACUCCGAAAAUUGAAUUCUUUUCAGAUUUAAAAGAAAACCAUGAAAGACACAUGCAAAUCCAAUAAAAAGGUUAAAGUGGUUUUAAUUCUUAAAACAAGAAAGCUACUUUUUAAAAUCAAAUUUAAUUUUAUAUGAUACUAUCUUGUCCCAACUCAUAAACAAGCCCAACCAAAAGCAGAGCUUUCAAAAUCUCAGGGUGAAAAAACAAAUUGAUUGAGAUAUCACUACUAACAGUCUCCACAAAAGUUCACUGAAACGUGGUUGAUUCAAAACCACAAACCAACGCAAUUAAAAAGGGGGGCAGGGGAGAGGGAAUCCAUAUAGAAAUGAAGAGGAUUCAUGAAAUUUGAAAAAUAACGGACCUUGAAAGUGCCUGAACAAGUGAUCACAGACAUAGCUAGACGCAUCAGGGCCACCGUGACCAUCAUAGACACCAAUAAAAGUCCCAAACAAUCCAGACUCGAUCUGGCACUUGUCCUCGAGUACUUGAUUAGCUUGCACAACAGCCAUUGAAAAAUCUCCAGACCCAUAUCUCCCAAUAUCUCUAUACCAAAGCAACCCGUCUUUCCCUUCUUUUCCAACACCAGCUGACUCAAAGUUGCCACUAGUGCUGCUAUCGUGCCCAAACGGCCUAAAACAUAAAGAAAGCAGAUUCAUCAAUGCCUGAAGCAUCCCACAUCUCUCAGUUACGCUGACCCCAAUCUCCUCUCCCAAGGUAUCCCAAUCUGGUCGUUGAUAUAAUGAUCAAAUUUAUAUUUGAAAAGAAAGUGGGUGUACAGGAUAAGAAGAGAGAAGGGUGGUGGUGGUGGUGGUGAUGGAGCUCUGUGCCCGGUGGUAGAGGAACAGGGAAAGGGUCAUUCCAUUGCUGGGGAGGAGAUGGUGUAGGGAAGAGUUUUGUUGGGUGUUGUUUUCAAUGUCUUUUGUUUGUAUUAUGGUGUGUAUAUAACAAUAACCAUCAAUUUGAUGUACGCAAAAAGCAAGUGUUCUUCUUGCGAUGCCUCUUUAGCUUACAUUCUUUCUUUUUAUGUGUUUUUUUUAUGGAAUUGUUUUCCUCUUGUUUUUCACUUAUGGGUGAAAGUGAAAACUUUCAAAAGGGAACCACUUUC
rnacentral:misc_RNA from 1 species